GAUGAAGAACGCAGCGAAAUGCGAUAAGUAGUGUGAAUUGCAGAAUUCAGUGAAUCAUCGAAUCUUUGAACGCACAUUGCGCCCUUUGGUAUUCCUUAGGGCAUGCCUGUUCGAGCGUCAUUUAAACCUUCAAGCUCAGCUUGGUGUUGGGUGACUGUCCGCUUCACCGCGGACUCGCCUCAAAAUUAUUGGCGGCCGGUACAUUGGCUUCGAGCGCAGCAGAAACGCGAACUCGGGCCCGUCGUAUAGGCUCCCAGAAGCUAUCUUCACAAUUUUGACCUCGGAUCAGGUAGGGAUACCCGCUGAACUUAAGCAUAUCAAUAAGCGGAGGA
rnacentral:misc_RNA from 1 species